UACGUAGGGUGCGAGCGUUAAUCGGAAUUACUGGGCGUAAAGCGUGCGCAGGCGGUUUGUUAAGCCAGAUGUGAAAGCCCCGGGCUCAACCUGGGAACUGCGUUUGGUACUGGCAAGCUAGAGUACGGCAGAGGGGGGUGGAAUUCCACGUGCAGCAGUGAAAUGCGUAGAGAUGUGGAGGAACACCGAUGGCGAAGGCAGCCCCCUGGGCCGAUACUGACGCUCAGGCACGAAAGCGUGGGGAGCAAACAGG
rnacentral:rRNA from 1 species